GUCACACUCCUCAGCCCGCCCAGGUCGCGGCCGCUACAGCCGCCGCUGCCCCCGCCCCCUCCUCCGCGCGCCGCCCGCGUGGGCCGCGGUGGGAGGCGCCGGUGGCAGGUUCCCGCGAGCCCCGAUCCGCAACAGCUCCGCGGGGACCGCCGCAGGCCGCGAGUUCACAGGGUGUCAGGCGCUCCCCCUCCCCGGACCCCGACCCGGGCUGAGGCAGCAACGGUUUGCCUGGGCCCUCCCCCUUCCCUCCACCACAGCGAAUCUUCCCGGACCGAGCGCGCGACACGCGCCUAGACCCGGGCUUUCUCUCAGCCUUGGGACCAGGUGCUUGUUGGCAACGCAGAAGAGGCAAAAGUGAAGAAAGCGAAGACGAAGGACAGCUGAAUGGGAACGAUUCGGGGGGUCUUCCCGGCUCCCAGCACCCCCAAGAAGAUGGCUGCCGAUAAACCUCGCGAGAAUUGAUGAAGUCUCGCGGUGACUCCCGGAGCCUGCUGGGAAGAGACAAGGAGCGAAAGGCUGCUGACUUCAGAAACAGCGGGAACCCUAGCUUGUCGUCUGUAACAGACGGCGUGACGCAUCAGCUGGAACGAACCUGCGGACUGGAGCUCUCCUGGGAGAGCGUCCACUCGGAUUUGCCGGGACGCGAGGCGGCCAGGGGCUACAGGUGUGCUGUGCUGUACUGCCUCUGCCGUUAAUCUCAGGGUCCUGCAGUACUGUGUUCCGUUUGUGCUGUGAUGUGGACAAAACAGGGAAGAACGGGCUGGUCGAAUCUAACGCACUGAGACCUCCAGCGGAUUAGCGUCUUGUACAAAAUUAUUCGAUUGAUUAAUUGGCAGAGCACUGGUGACCUAGGGAUGUCCCUAGCCCUUGACAGUUCUCAGGUAGUCUCCAAUCAUCUGAAACUUUCUGACUUUUCCCCAGCCAGAAAUUUUCUCCAUUUACAGCCAAUUCAGCCCCAGAUAGGGAAAUUACAUAGUAUCAGAAGAGAGAGGCUUCAUAUCAGCAUCCUAAAUAAAUAACUUCCUUUCUCCAGGGUGGUCAGAUAAGUUUGAUUCCUGCUUCCCUUGUUCUAUUUGCUAUUAUUUACUACCAUUGUACUAGGUGGAAUUUUGCAAAAGGUCCAGUGCCCAUAAACCAUAAUGAAAUGAAAAAAUUCAUAGUGUAAAGACAGUAAAUAGACCAAUAAAAAGCUCUUUAUG
rnacentral:lncRNA from 1 species